AUCCAGCCAAAGCUACCAUAAUUAAUUUCAGUACAAUCAAGUUACUCACUUAUAUUAGUAACCCGUAAAUAAUAAUGAUUACCGUAUUAUUAUUAUUGUUCACAAUUAAAUAUGCGGUUUCAAAAAAUAAAGGAUUAAAUGUGAGGGAGUAGAGGGAAUGGAAAAAAGCCUGUUCUGGCAAAAAAUGUGAAAUCCUUUUAUAUUGUUAUUAAACGACAAAAACAUGAUUAUAGAAUCAUAAACAAAAUGUGAAAGAUAUUAAAAGUAUGAAGAAGUGCGUAUGCGACAAGUGAAUCCGGUUUCAACCUAUUAUUUCAUGCAGGAAGUUAUAAUAACAAAGUUAUCAGUAAGAUCACCAAGUACAUUUUGGUGCAAUUUAUCGAUCGGAUGGGGUAUAUGAAGCUUGAUGUAUUAUACUUCAUACAUAUUCGUGACUAAUGGGCAGCCGUGUUGAUUGGAACUCUUUGAGACGCUAGCUUACUACGAGCGCGAAUUCGGUCGCCAUAAAAGUAGAGAGCAUAAAUCAAGGCGAUUAAAGGGAGGGAAGCAAAGCCUACGACGGCUGUGGCCCAAUGGACGUUCAUUCGGCUGAACAUUAAAGCACUAAGAUGGAUAAAGCCGACAGCACCUAAAUUGGAGGGAAGCUCGAAGGCGGCGACAGCAGAUGCUGAAACAUUGGGAUAUGCAUCUGUAACAUACAAAAGCAUUGCCUGCCAAAUGUGAUAAUCGGCAAUAUUGAAAAUGGUCAAACCGAUCAAUGACACUAUAUAAUGAAUAUGCACUUUACUACAAAAAGCAAACAUAAAGAUACCAAUUGGGAAACCCCACACGUAAAACAGAGUCAUUAUAAAGCGUGCUUCUGGUCGUAGACGAUUUUGAUGUUUUCGCUUAUCACGCUUAUAUAACCAACACUGUAAAGGCUCAAACCAGAGGAGAAUUACGCAAGCAGGCAUGGCAGCCAUAUAUGUGCAUGAAGCAGCCAUAUCUGACAUCUUAUAAAUUGAGAAAUACACAGGCCAAAUGGCUUGUAAAAAGAAAUAUAAAAGACCAUUGACAAAGCCGUUGUAUAUUCCUAAUGAGCUUACAAUGGGUUCACUAAAGAAGAUCUUUAUGGCCAUGAAAAAGACAAAGUAUGUGUCCUUUGCCAGUUUCUUCAAGCUGAACUGGGGAAACCAGGAAACUGGAAGCCCUUGACGUUUUUGCUCAUAACGUUGUAUUACAAUGGCGGGCAAUGUUUCGGGGGUAAAGACGAAGAGAAUGAUGAAAAAUCCGCCUACAAUAACAUCAAUCCAAUAUAACCACCUCCAAGUCAACUUUGGGUUUUCGGCAACCCCGGUUCCCAUGGGUGAGCCCACGGAUGCAACGGAGCACAUGAAAAUAAACAUGUACAUGCCCCAAUUUGAAUCUUCAUCGCCCAAGACGUCGGCGACAGCUCCAGCAACAUUGCCUAAAGCGGUGGAGCCCACGACACCCAUGAUCAGCAUGGAAAUGACGAGUUGCGCAUAAUUACGGGCAAGAGCGCAGGAUAUACAAAAACACACAUAGAUGAUUAAAGAGCCUAUAUAAACCAACUUCCUACCCAAAAGGUCGGACAGCGGACCCAAGAACAGAGGGCCCAAAGCGACACCCAAAACAAACAUACUCUGACCUAAAAGUGAGACCUGAGACGACAAGUGCCACAACUCCAUAACAGAGUCUUGUACACCAGGAUAGAAAUUGGGUGUCCAAAAUACAUACAUUUGAAGUGACGUGGAUAGCAACACAAUGUACGCUUUUUUCCACCAGCCCCAAUUUUGUGGAUGAGCAGGAUGUUCAUUGGAAAUGCCAGCAAGUUUAUAGGCAUAGUCAGAGAUAUCUUCGUUCUCUUCGAGUUCGUAUGUAUCAAGUUUGGCGAUACUAUUAUUGGACAAAUGGGGUUCGACGACCGAUUCUCCCAGCUCAAUGUCUAAAUCGUUCUAAAGAAAAGAAUUUGUUAGUGAAAAUGCCUUCAUGAGCAACAUCCUUUUUUUUUUUUUUUUUUUUUUAUAAGAAAAAGUGAAAGAGGGAAAAAAUAAUUUUUCUAUAGGACUCGACCAAGGAUCCUCUGGUACUAGCGCAACCUCUAAAUCAAUAGUCAAACGCCCUGCAUACCUUUUUUGGACUUAUAGACUCACUAUGGACAUGCAUCACAUCGUUUGUAUCAUUCAUGCUGUGUGAAUUCGAAGAUGUUAUUGACAUUUUGCUAAUAUGUAAUGAGCGACACCGCUGUCUCCCACUGACGCACAAAAAGAGAGUGAGACGAAAGGACGAGAAAAAGGAUCAAAUACAGGAAAAAAGCAAUGGUAAUUAGUCAAGUUCAGCGAACUCUUGAAUACGUUUUGCUGGGUUUCCUGCAAAUACCUGCAAAACGAAUAAUGUAAACAAAUCCGGUUAGUCGGAAAGAUGGGUUCCCCUUUGAUGGAGCCGGCUACCAGCCUCUAUUUAAACUUGCUCAAGAGAGAAUUUAAGUUUGACAUCAUAGAAGCGGCUUUUCUCGCUAUUAAUUUGAUUGGAUGGGUAGCCGUUGAUCCGUGAUCGUAAGUUUCCGAGUUGCCGCCGAUAUCUCCCUUCUUACCUCGUCGCUAAGGGCGGUCUCCAGGAGUCUCGACGACUGCCCGCAUAAGAGGCGAUCGAUGAAUGGUGGUAUUUGGAUGAAUGACUGUUUAGCGAAUCCAAUCAUCGAUCUGCCUCUGUAAUGACCAAAGGGGCGUUCGUCAUGUGUACGGGCGAAGCUAAACGCUGCGUGGUAUGACCCCAUAGGGCGACGCUUCGAUACAUUAAAGCCAAUUGGGAAGCUACACUGAAAUGCCCUAUUGGGGAAAUCGCUUUAAUAUUCCUAGGAAGAGGCGGUUAUUAGGGGAUAAACAAGUAGGAGGUUUAUGGAUGGAUAAAGUGAAUAAAGGAAUGGGAGGGAAAUGGCGUCGUACACAUCCCGUUCAUACAUUGACGGCACUACAAACAAGAAUUUAACUCUGUGUAUCGAAAAAAAAAUUUUCGCGACCCUUUUUCAGCUUUAUCAGCGUUGAUGGUUGCUUGAUAAAGCGCCAAACACAAAAAAUCAUUCAUCAAAAUUAGUACCUUUUCUGCCUCGCACAUACUUCCAUGUAUAGACUCAUGUAUCAAAUUCUCCAUAGAUAAUAUCGGCACUUGGGCGGAAAGACGAAAGGAAAUUUUUCCUGAGAAUGACUUUUAAUUCAUCAUUGGUGUUAUUUACUUUCUUUCUUUUUUUUUCCAUUUGAUCUACAUUUGAUCAGAUUUGACGUUGGUUUUCGUCGUGCGACAAUGUUCAUUCUUUAAUUACAUACAGAUAGGUGAAUUGUUGUAUACUUAUUCUCUGUUAAAAAAACGAAAAUUAUGUAUUGUUGUUUGGCGAAAAAUUGGGGAAAGCGCUUUUUGCAUGCCUUUCCAAUAUUAUGCUUUUCUUUUCACUUCAAUUCCCCAAAGCUAAUUAGGUUACUAUCGAACUUUCAAGAGCCCUUUUUCUUAGCAAAGGCUCUUCUUUGUCGGCAUUUUACAUUGCUAUCUCUCUUUUUCAUUUCACCUUUCAAUAUUCUGGCUAUUCUCAUCGGAAUGACAUGCUUUGUUGUCACGCAACUGUCUGGCCAUACUUCUUUCGAAUUUCAAAUUUACGGAUAUUUACCCAUAUAGCGGGUUUUCGAAUUUAUUAUACUCAUCUCGACCGGAUGUACAUUUAGUCAGUGGUUUCCAAACAUUCAUGAGUCAUAUUGUGUGCGAGGCCGAGCUGCAUUCCAUAAAGUUUUACUAGGAAAAAGGUGAGUAAACCUUUUAUCAAAGACUUGCUUUACUCUUGACGUGAUGCAUAUAAUUAAUUUUUUUUUGCUUUCUUUUCCAACUCUUUCUUCUUAUAUUUACUUCUUUAGUUGAUGGGCUUUCCUUAUAAGCAGCUACUCGCAUUGCCAUAUAUGAAUUCGGACAAAAGGAUCUAUUUUCUAACUUCUUGAUCCGAUUCCUUAUUUUGUUUAUUUUUUAAACUCCAUAUUCGUUUAAUAAUCCAAUGCACUGAUUCUAUACAAAAAAGGGAGCGUUUUUUUUACUGAUUAAAUGUAAGAAUUAUUUGCAACAGUAGUUGAACAUCAAUCGUUCAUCAAUUCCUCUAGCUCUGCAAGCUCUUCUGCAGUUAACUUGGUAGAAGGGGGUCCCAAUGAUGGGUGAUCGUCUGCUUCGUUGUUGUCUGCAGAAUAUUCUAAAUCCCACACUCUUAUCGUUUGAUCCAGGGAAGAACUAAUCAAAUAAGAUUUCCACUGUAAAAUUUUUGUCACUGAUUCAUAGUGCCCAGAAUAUAUAUCUUUUACAUUACCAGUUGUUGUAUCCCAUACACGAAUUUCUUCAUCUCUGCAUGCUGUUGCUAUAUUUCCAUCAGCUAGAGUAAGAACAUCAGUGCAUACGUCUGGGUGUUCCAUUCUAGUUUCUUCGUGUAUACCUUGAUACAAGGACCAUUCUCUAACAGUUUUGUCUGCCGAAGCUGUCCAUAAUGCCUCAGAAUCUUGUGGAUCAAACAGUAAACAAUAAACGUUGGACUGGUGUCCCCAAAAACCUUCUUCCUCUAACUGACUGCCGCCAACCUUAGUAAUAUGCCAACACCGAAUACUGCUUUCGCUGCCACACGUCCAAAAAAUGUCUGUGUUGGGCUGUCUGGUAAUACACUCGAUUCCACGACUAUGUCCUGUAAGCUUGUACAGUAGGCGACUUGGUUGAGAAGAAACAUCCCAUACUAUUAAGGAAGCAUCUGUUGACCCAGAUAACAGUAAUCCCUCUUCUUCCAGUAACAGUAGACAUUUAACGUAGUCAGUGUGACCAAUUAGCGUUUCAACGCAUUCACCUGUUGAGACAUUCCAUUUUUUUAUGGUAUGAUCCCAAGAACCAGUGUAAAUAUGCCGUACUUUGCCGUCUUUUCGAAGACUUUCAAUUUGACAGCAUGUGACAGGACCUGAGUGUCCCUUAUAUGUUUUGCAAGUUUUAUUUAUUUCCAAGUCAUAAAGUUUGCAUAUAUGAGAAGCUUCACACACAAAUAGUCUAGGGAAUUGCUUCUUUUUUGGUGUAGUCCGAUCUAGCUCAAUAUUCAAAAUCUUUGCCUUUAAAUUUCUAGGAUUCCCAUUUGGAUUAUGUGAUUUCUCUUCUUUUCUUUUUUCAUCUUGCAACGCACUCUCGGAGCGAAAAAAGUAUGAAGGAUUGUUGGUUUGCAUUUGAUCGUCGCCGUAUCACAUAAAAAGCUGAAUUCGGUUACUUGUAUUGACCAUAUAUUAGUUAGUGCAAUAUUUAUUGAAAAUUUAAAUUGUUA